rnacentral:rRNA from 1 species
AGAUUAAUACCCGGCGGUCUCGGACGGCCGCAUGACUGUCCGAGUGAAGAUUUAUCGGUAUGAGAUGGCGAUGCGUCCCAUUAGCUAGUUGGUGAGGUAAUGGCUCACCAAGGCAUCGAUGGGUAGGGGUUCUGAGAGGAAGGUCCCCCACAUUGGAACUGAGACACGGUCCAAACUCCUACGGGAGGCAGCAGUGAGGAAUAUUGGUCAAUGGACGAAAGUCUGAACCAGCCAAGUAGCGUGCAGGAUGACGGCCCUCUGGGUUGUAAACUGCUUUUAGUUGGGAAUAAAAAGAGGGACGUGUCCCUUAUUGUAUGUACCAUCAGAAAAAGGACCGGCUAAUUCCGUGCCAGCAGCCGCGGUAAUACGGAAGGUCCAGGCGUUAUCCGGAUUUAUUGGGUUUAAAGGGAGCGCAGGCGGCGGCGUAAGUCAGUUGUGAAAUCGUGCGGCUUAACCGUGCAAUUGCAGUUGAUACUGCGUCGCUUGAGUGCACACAGGGAUGUUGGAAUUCAUGGUGUAGCGGUGAAAUGCUUAGAUAUCAUGAAGAACUCCGAUCGCGAAGGCAUAUGUCCGGAGUGCAACUGACGCUGAGGCUCGAAAGUGUGGGUAUCAAACAGGAUUAGAUACCCUGGUAGUCCACACAGUAAACGAUGAAUACUCGCGGUUGGCUCGUUAGAAUCAGCCGCCAAGCGAAAGCGUUAAGUAUUCCACCUGGGGA